AAAGGACGGUCGACUUCGGCGGGGCCCAGGUGAGAAAGGCCCACCUGUGUCCUGGUUGAGGGUCUCCAGGGUUCUUUGGGGCCCGAGGCCAAUGGUGGCAGAGUCUACAUAGAACUAUGCUUCGUGGUGUUCUGGGGAAAACCUUUCGACUUGUUGGCUAUACUAUUCAAUAUGGCUGUAUAGCUCAUUGUGCUUUUGAAUACGUUGGUGGUGUUGUCAUGUGUUCUGGACCAUCAAUGGAGCCUACAAUUCAAAAUUCAGAUAUUGUCUUUGCAGAAAAUCUUAGUCGACAUUUUUAUGGUAUCCAAAGAGGUGACAUUGUGAUUGCAAAAAGCCCAAGUGAUCCAAAAUCAAAUAUUUGUAAAAGAGUAAUUGGUUUGGAAGGAGACAAAAUCCUCACCACUAGUCCAUCAGAUUUCUUUAAAAGCCAUAGUUAUGUAUUUGGAAACUAAGCAGUUCCUAUUAAGAUGCUGUUGCUGGCCGGCCGCGGUGGCUCACGCCUGUAAUCCCAGCACUUUGAGAGGCCAAGGCAGGCAGAUCACCUGAGGUCAAGAGUUUGAGACCAGCCUGCCCAGCAUGGUGAAACCCUGUCUCUGCUAAAAAUGCAAAAAAUUAGCCAGGCGUGGUGGCAGGCGCCUGUCAUCUCAGCUACUUGGGAGGCUGAGGCAGGAGAAUCGCUUCAACCUGGGAGGUGGAGGUUGCAGUGAGCCGAGAUCGCGCCACUGCACUGCAGCCUGGGCAACAAGAGCGAAACUCCGUCUCAAGAAAAGAAAAGAAAAAAAAAGAUGCUGUUUGCUUUCCUUAUUUUGAAGGUACUGAAGCCAAUAAUUCUUUCCUGGGGUUAUGUAUGAACUGAGCAUUGGCUACUGUAAAGAUAUGAGAUUAAUUUGUGACUCUCAAAAGAAACAAAUUGUCAUAAGCUCAGACAUCUUGAGUAUGUUGCCUUUCUGUAUAUUCUACAGGAAUUCCUCAGUUUGCUGCUUGA
rnacentral:lncRNA from 1 species